CUUCUGACAUAUGCUUCCUCCUGGACUUCUAAGAAACAGGCCAAAAGUUUAAUUAUCCCUUAAAAUACGUUAAGCCCAAAUGGAAAAAGAAAAUUAAUCACUUAUAGAUUUUUUCUUCUUUAUUAUGAUUCAGUUGGUACAUCUGCAGAUGGCUAAGAAUUUUCCAAGCCGUAUGAAUUCAGAGAGGCAACACUUUCUUUAUUCUUGUUGUUCCAGUCCAUACAUUAAUUCAAGUCCUACAAAAAGGGGAUUGGAACUCAAACAUAGCCGGUGAUCCAGGUGGACGGCUCUGAAUUAUAUUACUACCAGGAUUUAGCAUUGGGUUCAUCUCUGAAAAUACAGCUCAAAACCUAUAUGAUUUCAGCUCCACAGGCUCCACUGAAAAGUAUUGCCUAUCAAAGCAACACGCAGAAAAAGCACCAAGCACACUUGAUAAUAUAAAACCACGCCAUAGCCCCACAGGGUGAGACAAUCUAGUCAGCAAGAAAAAAAAAAAAAUCAUUGUUGGAAAUAUUUCUCCAUAAUGGAAAGCAAUUCGCUGUGAGUCGACUUAUAGAUCAUGACAUAAAACCAAAGAAAAAAAGAAAGAACUCUAAGCAUUGACAGAUGUUCUGUGCUUGCUCCUGUCUCCUGACCCCCUCCGAGUCUCCAUCAGAAGGCUGCCUGACCUGCAGGCUUUCCAGCAACUUAGGAACUGGAGAUCUUUCACACAAAAGGUUUUACCCCUAAUUCCACUGAAAACCCCCUUCAACCAAGAAAAACUUUUUUUCUCACAGGAGAAUUUAAGAGAGUCUAUGGAUUCAUGCUCGAUUUCAUAAUUUCCUCUCUGUACAAAAACCUGGGUAUUUAUUUCUCUUACGCAAUUUCCAGGGAGUCAGUUGCAUGACCUGACUUGUAUUCUGCUGGUCUACUGAGGGACCUUACCGUCAAACAGUCACUCUUGGUGAGAACAUACCCAAGGGCUGAUAUAUGACUGCAAAGGAACUUAACAAUUCCUGGAAGGAAAAGGGUUAAGAGCCAGUAAAAACAGCAUAAAUUUACACAUGACCUAGUGUGAUUACACUUUAUUCUCUUCCUUGGAAGGAACAACAACAAUGACAAACUCCAUAACUAAUGCUUCUGGUCUAAAAAACUGCUCCCGAAAGGACACGUUUUCACCCACUACCGAUGAUCUCAACAACUUUCUGGAUAGAAAAGACCUAUAGACAGAGAGAUGUACUUGCCGAAAUUUUUCAUCAGCUGAAGAACAGGAGAGCCUGCUGCCACAGAGAGGAGAAGUUGCUCUUUUGCCUUUAGCCAUGGAUGCAUCAGGGUCACCAUGUAUUUGACUGGAGAGCCCACAGAUGUCACUGACACAGCAGCUUCUCUGACAAUAGACCGUCAAUGGUACACUCUUCUGUUUCUCCCCUCUCCUCCUCCUCCCUGCUGUCUACACACAGAUUCUUCAAGGAAAACCUUUGCAAUGCUUCCUGGUAAUAGGACUGAAGUAUCUGGAGUAGCAGAUACCUUAGAAGAGUUAUCUUGAAACUUUCUGAAUACAAUUGAUUGUAUCAGAAGCGCUGCUGAAGAACUAAAUUAAAUGGAAAAUGUAGACAUCCAGAAAGAAGUAAACAUUUAGAGAUAGCAUAAUUGGAAGAUUUUUAUUUUAAAAAUCCACUCCUAAAAAAAGAAAAAAAAAACCUAAUUUGUGUGUGUGUGUGUGUGUGUGUGGCGUGACUUCCCUUACAUAUCGGCUACUCUGAAAUAUAUCUCUCUCCUUUGAUUCAUGAAAAACAAUAUGGGCAAGAUAAUUAUUGAUGGAAACAUGUCUGGGUCAGGAAAAUGACCCAGAACCAAGAUUUAUGCUUUCCCAGAGAAUAUUCCUAUAUUACUAGACCUGUAGAAAAGAAAACCCUGAGCUUUUCUGAUAUUUUUAAGUAAGGGCGCCACAUGUUCCCUUCUAGAAAGAAAAAUAAGAGUGUGCAAGCUGUGCCCACAGGCCAAAUCAAGCUUACAACCUAUACGUACCCUGUGCACUAACAGUGUUUUUAUAUUUUUAAGGUAGCAAAAAAUCAAAAGAGGAAUACUAUUUUGUGACAUUUAAACAUUUUAUGAAAUUGAAGUUAUGUGUAUUCAUGAAUAAAGUUUUAUUGGAACACA